CCUACGGGAGGCAGCAGUGGGGAAUUUUGGACAAUGGGGGCAACCCUGAUCCAGCAAUGCCGCGUGAGUGAAGAAGGCCUUCGGGUUGUAAAGCUCUUUUGUCAGGGAAGAAACAGCAGCUCUAACACAGACUGCGAAUGACGGUACCUGAAGAAUAAGCACCGGCUAACUACGUGCCAGCAGCCGCGGUAAUACGUAGGGUGCGAGCGUUAAUCGGAAUUACUGGGCGUAAAGCGUGCGCAGGCGGUUAUACAAGACAGGCGUGAAAUCCCCGGGCUUAACCUGGGAAUGGCGUCUGUGACUGUAUAGCUAGAGUGUGUCAGAGGGGGGUGGAAUUCCACGUGUAGCAGUGAAAUGCGUAGAUAUGUGGAGGAACACCAAUGGCGAAGGCAGCCCCCUGGGAUAACACUGACGCUCAUGCACGAAAGCGUGGGGAGCAAACAGGAUUAGAUACCCUGGUAGUCCACGCCCUAAACGAUGCUGACUAGUUGUUGGGAAUUUACAUUCUCAGUAACGUAGCUAACGCGUGAAGUCAGCCGCCUGGGGAGUACGGUCGCAAGAUUAAAACUUAAAGGAAAUUGACGG
rnacentral:rRNA from 1 species